GACGAACGCUGGCGGCGUGCUUAACACAUGCAAGUCGAACGGAAAGGCCCUGCUUUUGUGGGGUGCUCGAGUGGCGAACGGGUGAGUAACACGUGAGUAACCUGCCCUUGACUUUGGGAUAACUUCAGGAAACUGGGGCUAAUACCGGAUAGGAGCUCCUGCUGCAUGGUGGGGGUUGGAAAGUUUCGGCGGUUGGGGAUGGACUCGCGGCUUAUCAGCUUGUUGGUGGGGUAGUGGCUUACCAAGGCUUUGACGGGUAGCCGGCCUGAGAGGGUGACCGGCCACAUUGGGACUGAGAUACGGCCCAGACUCCUACGGGAGGCAGCAGUGGGGAAUAUUGCACAAUGGGCGGAAGCCUGAUGCAGCAACGCCGCGUGCGGGAUGACGGCCUUCGGGUUGUAAACCGCUUUCGCCUGUGACGAAGCGUGAGUGACGGUAAUGGGUAAAGAAGCACCGGCUAACUACGUA
rnacentral:rRNA from 1 species